AUGAAUAUUCAGUGCCGUAGCUGGUGCGUUCCGCGAAAAAGAAGGACGACGAAUCUAUGCAUAGGCAGUGUGCUUUGUCGUAUCCGAGCCGACCGAGAAUUCAGGAAAAUUGUCUCUGCUUUAAUACAGCGAUAUUUUAAUUAUUUUCAAUCGGAAAAAAAUUUCAGUGCUUUGCAAUUACCUAAGUGCUUGAAACGAGGAAGGUACCGAUAAACCCACCCGAAAUCGAACAAUGAUCUAACGAGAGACGAGAUAAAAUCCCGGUGGCUCGACCGUAAAGUUUGGACAUUUUCAGAUAGGUUAACGACUUGCUUACUGAUUUCUAAACAAAUCGGCUGGAUGACGGUGCUAAUCUUCAGUUUCCCUCCACCGGUUCGUCAUGUUGUACAUUUUCAAGCGGCUAAGAAAAGUAAGUUUCCUCUUUAGUUGUACAUGAUGUUACUUCAAGAAGUUUUCGAAUACCUUUCUGUUCGUAAAGCGAGCUCGUCUUAAGUUUAAAUUCCGAUUAUUCGAUAGACAUCCCUCAUCCUACUUUUUCCCGUUGUCGUGCGGUUCACACGGGAGAAAGAUGAUCUGAUCGUGCCUGCUGGUGUGAGUGUGCGAUAGCAAGUAUUUCACUUCAAAAAAUCAUAGAUUUUUCUUUUGAUGGGUGUUAUAAAGAAUGCGUAGAACAUGGGAGUUCGUAAAAGGGUUGGAAUAAAACCGUUCGGCACCAGCUGGAUUUUGAAGUAGAUCCAACAAACUACGGGGAGAAUUUAAAAGAUAACAAAAACUUGGAAUGGAAAUUUAGAUUGUAUUAAAAACCGAAAGAAACAGAAUUACAAAAGAUGUCACACUUUGAAAUGUGCAGAGGGAAGAGAGAGAGCACAUACGCACUAGUGCGGGUCGAGAUGGUAAAAAGACCUAGAUUUUAGGGCAGCACAAGCUUUUAUAGACUUGCUGACGUCACAGGUGGUGAGACAACAAGACUACACGCUAUUGGCUGGCUAUAAUCAGUGGAGCUAUCAGUUGCAAGUUCAGUAAUAAAAAUAAUAGGCAAUUUUAGGUGAUGGCUGGGAGACAUGAAUGGAAAAGAGUAAAGUGAACGGAUUCCAGCCAUCCCUAAUGACUAGAGUGAAUUGGAAUAAAAUUGAAAAAUGUAAAGUAAAAAUAUGAGGAGGUGUUGACAAUGGGUUUGUCCUUUUCAUGAGCUUGCUUGAAUUUCAAAUCACAGGAUGUUACGUAUCUAAGGGUAAAAGUACCUCGGUAAAGAAAAACUCAAAAUCGAGAUGAGUAUUGAUAUAUAUUUUUUUAUAUAAUAAACAUUCGAAGGAUUUUACCUUUUCACUUUUCACUUUUUCAUCCACUCCACAUUUCAUUCCAGUCCGCCGUUGCCAGAUUGUGCGAUAGUGUGAAUAUUUUACAUGGGUUUUAAAGGGAAAAGUACUGGAAAAACAGCAUAUCUGGCAACAGUAGAGUCUGGAAAGGAUGAGAGGCUUCUUUCCUGGGAAAACCGUGAUUUAUCCAGAAAUGUCAUUAAACAAGUUGGUUCCGUUCGAAGCAACAAAUGUAUUCUAGGGUAAGCUAUUUUAAAAUAAUAAUUGUAAAUGGGCACAGAUGCUGCAAAAAAGCAAAAAUGAAAAGAAAAAAAAAAGAUGAGAAUAAAACGUGAACAGUUCUAUUUUUCUAAUUUCUUACCUUCGGUGCAUAUAUUUUAGACACUCUUUAGUAUAGAUUUUCAUUUUUGGUCUCUCUUUCAAUUAGGUAUUAUACUUUACGUAAGGCAGUGCUUGACUUUCUCCCCAUCAUCCCCUACAGUGAGGCGCCUCUUGACCCCCCCUCUCCACCCCCCGAAUGCCUCACUUGAUAUAUGGACUUAAUAUUUGAGGGUGCCUCCGAAUAUCGUUUCUUGGUCAAUGAACAGUGCAAUUUGCAUCUUUAAAAUUGUCCAAUCUUAUGACAUAAAAGAAAAUCCAAAAUAUUUCUGCAAGCUUAAAUUUCAGCUAGAGUGUUAGAAUGUCCAAUUUACGGAAUAUAUAUGCAAAGCUAGCUUGACAAGUAGCUUUUUUCGAACAGGCAACCCAUGUUGCAGCAAUAUGGUGUACGCACGAGUAGAUGAAAAUUAAUCUCAGCUGCAAUUGGGCCUAGGAUUUCAUUUCUUUUUUUCAAUUUUAGGGCGGAAAUUAUUUAUCGGAUGUGAACUACUUUCGGUAAGGAUUUUUACAUAAUUUAAUUUGAAAAAUCACUCCGUUCGGUCUGUCUCUGAAAUUGCAUCAUCAAUUAUUUUGUAAUAUAACAAGGUGCAUGGCAUGGUAUGCAAGUCAAUUAUGCAGAUAUCUGCCUCACGCAGAGUUCCACAAAAUAAGGAGGUGUUUCCGACUUUUUUCAUGAGAUUUCUUCAUUAUUUUUCUCACAGAAGUAGCACAUCGACGGUGAAACUACCAGACCACGUAUCUCGGUUUGUGACGUCGCAGACUUCCUGUCAUACUUCAUUUUUUAAAUGAAAAACAACUCAACGUCAAUUCUUGAAAACUUCCGUGAUUCUUCUUCUUUGAGUGACGAAAAAAGCUGUGAAAACUUCAUUGAAUGAUAUUGGUUUGUUUUCCUCAACAAAAAUAAAAUGGGAGGAGAGAUUUUUAAACACCGCAAACGAGAUACGUGGUCUGGGAGUUCUACCGUCGACAUGUUGUAAUGGAUUGCAAUUAUUCCACUACUGCUAUUAAUACUGCCGUGCCAAGGAAAAACGCCGUAUGAACCUCCAGGCGUUGCCAAAUUUCCUUUGAUAAAACAAGCAUCUCCUGGUAAAAUUUUAAAUAUUUUCUUCCAAUUUUUCAGAUAAUUUUGCUCGUAAUUUCACCUUAAAUUCUUAAGAAUUUCACGGAAGAAUAUUCAUAACUUUCCUCAAAAAAACAUUUUAACGAAGGAAAUUUGGCAACUCCCGAAUGUUCAUGCGGCGCGGCGUUCUUCCUUAGCACGGCAGAAUACUACUGUGUUUGAGUGUUGUGUAUGUUGCCUAUCUACUAAUUGAAGGAGCCGCUAUCAUUGAAGUGUACUGCAAUGAAAUGGAUGAACGCAUUGAACGCAAACGUCGCGUCGGCUGCGAUUCAUCAAACAACCGAGUUUAGUUGUUCACUUUUAAAGAGUGUCUUCCUUCUUCAGUUGUCAGUAUGUCAAGUUGAAUCCUAAAAUGAUCCAAAUGCAUUCGUAGUUUGCUUCUAAACGAAACUUGACAAUGCCGUGGCGUGCUUUGCGAUGUAUCGACUGAUCUGCCAUUUAAACCCAUGGUAAAGGAUCGAUAAACAGGGUGUUCGCUACGAACACCUUAAUAAUUACAGUAGAGUCUCGAUUGUCCGCGAUAAUUUGGACCGGCGAUACCGCGGAUAAUCAAAAAUCGCGGAUAAUCCGAAUCUACGGAAGACGGCCGGAAAAAGUCAUCGGAAAGACUGUAUUUUAAAGGAAUUAGUAGACACGAAAAGAAAAGUGUGAGGGGUUAUCCCUAAAAUUGUGGUACUACCCCAAUUUGGUGGAUGAUAUGGACAUUUCUAAUUAAUUUGGUAUUAUCGCAACUCAAGUUGGGGUAGCACCGCAACAUUUGGGUUGGUAACCUAAUUUAUUAGGGUACUACCACAAUUAAUCGGGGUAUUGUCACAAAUAUCGGGGUAUUACCACAAUUCAUUGGGGGUAUUACCACAAUUAAUUGGAAAUGCUCAUAUCAUCCAACAGUUGGGACUUAACCCUUACCUCUUUCUUUCAGUGAAGACACUUACCAUGCAUUAGAAAAGAAUAUAAUUAUUAACUAAAAAUCAAUAAACGUUAACUGUUAAACAAAUUAAACUUUAUUUCUUGAAGAAUUUCUUGAUGGAAGAUUGAGUCAUGGAUUUGAACCUUUUUUCGACCAACCAAGAGUUGAAAGUGCUCCGACCCUUUUCUACCUUCGUUUUUAACACUCAGGUAACAAUGAAGACCUGCACGUGCGCGUACAAAUGAAAAGAUGGUUUUCCCAAAGAGGAGACACUGAAAAAAAAGUAGCUUGGAUCAAGCAUGAUGAUUCUUGAAUUUGCCGCCAAGAAUUUUUUUUAUCUUGCUUUAAGCUGACUUUUCUUGAUACAAGAAAAAUGAUGCUUGGAUUAAGCAAAAUAGUAGCUUAUAUUAACCAGAAAAAUUCUUGAUUUAAGAAGAAAUUCUUCUUGGCGGCAAAUUUAAGAUUCCUUUUUUUCCAGUGGAGGAAUGACCCGAAUGUCUCCGUUCGGUCCCGGUCGCAUUCAAAAGAAAUAGAAAAAGUAAAAAAAAAGUCCGCUCCACGGACCGCGGAUAAUCCGCAUCGCGGAUAAUCCGAAUCGCGGAUAACCGAAGCGCGGAUAAUAGAGACUCUACUGUAAUGCUUAACCAUAGCUUGAAAUGGGGAAAUAUCGAUCGAUCACUCAGGCCUCGCCGCUGAAACU
rnacentral:lncRNA from 1 species